rnacentral:lncRNA from 1 species
CAGGAAACACCUGGACUCUCCAGAGAUUGGCACCAUUUUUUUUCCUGCUCAGACAGCAUGGAACACCCAGCCUCCUGUCUGCAUUGAGCAUGCCCAAGACAUACUGUUCAAGUCAGGUGAUGGAACACAGGCUGAACUUACCAGGUGAGGUAUCUGAAGUCCUCAACACUCCAAGUACCUGCCAUCAUAGCUGCCCUGCCUUAAGAAAAAAAUUGGAAUCUCAGCCAGGUUACCAGAGCUCAGCCCUGAGCAGUCAUACCCACACACACAUACCAGUCUUCAGAAGAGCUACUUACCCAUAGUUCCUCAGUCCUGAUCUCUACCACAUCUCUCAUCCUGGUCUCAGCAGCCUCUGGCAUUUCCCAAGCACACAGUUCACCAAACUGGACUAUUUCCUCUUUAUUAUCUACACAAAUAUUCUUAAUUAUUUCUCCUCCAA